GAUGAACGCUGGCGGCGUGCCUAAUACAUGCAAGUCGAGCGAACGGACGAGAAGCUUGCUUCUCUUAUGUUAGCGGCGGACGGGUGAGUAACACGUGGAUAACCUACCUAUAAGACUUGGAUAACUUCGGGAAACCGGAGCUAAUACCGGAUGAUAUUUUGAACCGCAUGGUUCAAAAGUGAAAGACGGUCUUUCUGUCACUUAUAGAUUGAUCCGCGCUGCAUUAGCUAGUUGGUAAGGUAACGGCUUACCAAGGCAACGAUGCAUAGCCGACCUGAGAGGGAGAGCGGCCACACUGGAACUGAGACACGGUCCAGACUCCUACGGGAGGCAGCAGUAGGGAAUCUUCCGCAAUGGGCGAAAGCCUGACGGAGCAACGCCGCGUGAGUGAUGAAGGUCUUCGGAUCGUAAAACUCUGUUAUUAGGGAAGAACAUAUGUGUAAGUAACUGUGCACAUCUUGACGGUACCUAAUCAGAAAGCCACGGCUAACUACGUG
rnacentral:rRNA from 1 species